UAGUAAUAUCAAUAGAUCUAUAACUUUUUAAUAACUUUUGUUUUAUUCGCCAGCACAAACACUUGCUCCUUGUUACUCUGCUGACCUAAAGCCAACAUCAGGGAGACUCAUCUCAGCAGUCAGCUGCACCGUGCUUUUGGCGGUACCACCGCUGAACACCAGUACAGUUGUGUUCUGGGAAUAUAAAAAUGGCCCUCACGAAGAAUUCAUCCUAAAGUAUUAUCUCAAUAAACCUGUAAAUACUACUUCUUCCUACAAAAACCGUACAAAGUUCAAUGAAACAGAUUUCUCUCUGCAAAUGGUGCUACAGCUGGGAGACAGCGGAAUGUACCGUUUUAGAACAGAGUCACAGGAAACGGACUGGUUCCAACUGGAAGUUAUUGAACCACUGCCUGCUCCAGAAAUCGUGGGCAACUCCUCUGUGAAAGCAGGAGGCAACACUAAACUGGUCUGCAACAUCUCAGAAGGGAAGGCAGACUCCUACUGGUGGAAGAAGAAUGGGGAGCUGCUGCUUGGGAGUGACCAUUUCCAGUUUGUUCAUAACAACACGUUGCAUAUCAUUGAAGCGACAAUGAACGACAGCGGCUACUAUGCUUGUGUGGUCCGCAACAAAGUGAGCCAGAAUGAAACCUCCUUCCUGCUUCAUGUUCAGAACGCUGCAAACAUGGUCUUACCUGUGGUGAUGGCAUGCGUUAUCGUUGGCUCUCUAAUAGGUGUUUUCGUCUGGUGUAGGAGGAGGGGCCGCUUUCGUCACCGUGUCUGUAGGUGGAGGGCCUGAGUGACUGCACCUUGCUCCCUUCCUCUCACGUAGGUGAUGGAGGCUACCCAGGGAGCACUGGACACCUGCCAUCAUGCACAGCGGUCUGAUGCUGUCCCAGUCUCUUCUGGGCUCGCUUAUUAAUUGUUCAAGCUGCUAAAACCCACAGAUACUUGCAGGACUUGUUUUACAAACAACACUGGCUUGGACUCCAUCUGCAUUGUCCUGUCCUUCCCAAGGCUUCUUGCACCUCUUUGGGGGAGAGGUAGGCUUGGCUUUCUCUGGAGCACUGUCUGUUUCUUUGCUCCAGGCCUCCUUACCUUUCGUGGCUUUCUCCAAAGGCUGUGGGGGCACUUGGAGAAGGGCUGAUGGUUGUGGAUAGAGCUACUAUCCUGGCUGGGCAAACACAUGGCUCUGGAGGCUGCUGGGGAGUGGCCACAGGUGCUCUGCUACUCCCUGACAGGAGACUCAAUGGAACUUGAACUCCCUCACUGUGGCCUCAAUACCUCCUGGUGUGCUGCUGUUUUGGGGCACUUGGGGACUUGCUGGGGUGUCUCGGGGCUGAGACCAUGGGGCUUAUUUUGUGCUUGGUCCUUGGAGGGAGGAGAAAAGGCGUGUUUUUGCUGUCAUGUGCACUAGGAGUCCAGGAGAUGAGUGGAGCCGGUUGAAGCCCACAGGGGAUGGAGGGGUGGCAUGUUAAUGGAUAUGACCAACAAUGUAGUUUUGUUUUGAAAAACAAACCCCAAAGAAAUUCCUGCAACCAGCUGCUUUAGAGCAGCAGUGCAGCCUAACGUGCACGAGAGACAUGGGUACACUCCCAAAGCAGUCUCUCCUGUUCCCUCAGCCUUGGACUCAGGAAGGAUCUGAGGAUGUGUCCUCAUCUUCUGAGGAUUAGCACAUUGUUUGUACUUGUGACAGUGCAAGCUUGUUUCUCUCUUUUGCUGCUCCUGCAGGAGAUGAUGGUUGUGAUCUGAUUUGAUAUGGCCAGGGCAGCCUUUCUUUCCAGCCCCAAAACUCCUGCCCAUGUCCCUUCCCCAUGCUCCUUCUGUGGAGCUUUUCUGGGCUUUACUUAUAAAAGCGAUUGUUAUAACUGAAAUUACUUAGUUGGGGCCAUAGCUUUUCUCUCUCAGCACUGACAUCUUCACACUGGAGAAAACUGGAUGCUUUCCUGGAAGCACUAGAUCUUGCUAAGUGCCUUUCUGAAUGUCAAGCUGGGGAGUUUGCACCCAUCUUUCCUUCCGACAGGGAGUCCCACUAAGCCCAGCACCCUCUCUGAGCUGGUCCCCAGGCACUUGGUGGGGUCAGCCAUUCUGAGUACUCUAGUCUAGCUACCAGAUGAUCACUUCUCUCCUAGAGUGGGGCAGCUGAGGGCUUGAGGACCUCUUUCCUGUUGGUCUGCAGGCAAAAGGGGAACAGGUCCCUCCACGUGGCUUCCAGGCUCUGCCCUGGGGUUGCUGGACCAGCCGAUUGUUCCUAUAUGCAGUUUCUUUAGCUCCUUCAGAGACGCAGUUCAGCUUUACAUAGCCAGAGGAAGAGAACUUCCCCAGCAGAGAAAUACCUCAGUAUGGCUCCUUGCUGAGAAAGCAGAGUUGUCCUGGCCUCGUCACAUUCACUUGCUACAAGGAAGAAGACAGGAGAGUUGAGCUGUGCUUUCUUUGGUGUUUUGUUCGUGUAGGUGGUUUUUGUCUCCUGGUUGUUGUGAUUGGAUUUUGAAAGCAAUUUCUGAAUAUUUAGCAUUGUCCAAGGAAAACGCUAAAGCAGUCAGGAAAUGGAGAGAGAUGAGGGUUGAUUUUACUGUGGUUUGUGUUUUGCCUGUAGACCAUAACUCACUUCUACAGAAAAGGGCAUUCCUAGCGACCUGGGAGCUCCGAGUUUCACUCUCUCUUCAGAAUUCUGCCUUCUCUCUGGAGAAGAGUUGACCUGUUGACUGUUCCUAGGAAAAUCCUUUGAAAUGUAAGUUAAAGCUGACAUGCACAAAAACAAAAUUUCUGUGAAGCUGGUUUGAAAAAAAAAAAGUUGGAAAUUGGUUGGUUGGUUGGUUGGUUGUUGCUGAAGAGUUCUGGUCACAUUUGUGCUUUUUACUCUGCGGGAGAGUAAAUUAACACGACUUGACUUUUUUGGGCUCUACCUGCUUUGACAUGACUCCAGUGCACUAGCCUGAAAAAGGAUGUAGCUGAGUCCUGUGUGCAUUAGCCCCAGGGAAAUAAUAAAUGUAUGAAAGGGGCUGGCA
ensembl:lncRNA HEPACAM family member 2-like